rnacentral:rRNA from 1 species
UACGUAGGAGACGAGCGUUGUCCGGAGUUACUGGGCGUAAAGAGCGCGCAGGCGGUCGUUCAAGUCGCGUGUGAAAGCCCCCGGCUCAACUGGGGAGGGUCACGCGAUACUGAUCGACUCGAAGGCAGGAGAGGGUAGUGGAAUUCCCGGUGUAGUGGUGAAAUGCGUAGAUAUCGGGAGGAACACCAGUGGCGAAGGCGACUACCUGGCCUGUUCUUGACGCUGAGGCGCGAAAGCUAGGGGAGCAAACGGG